rnacentral:rRNA from 1 species
AGUGAACGCUGGCGGCAGGCCUAAUACAUGCAAGUCGAACGGCAGCACAGCAGAGCUUGCUCUGUGGGUGGCGAGUGGCGGACGGGUGAGGAAUACAUGGGAAUCUGCCCAGUCGUGGGGGAUAACGUAUGGAAACGUACGCUAAUACCGCAUGCGCCCUACGGGGGAAAGUCGGGGACCGCAAGGCCUGACGCGAUUGGAUGAGCCCAUGUUCGAUUAGCUAGUUGGCGGGGUAAAGGCCCACCAAGGCGACGAUCGAUAGCUGGUCUGAGAGGAUGAUCAGCCACACUGGAACUGAGACACGGUCCAGACUCCUACGGGAGGCAGCAGUAGGGAAUAUUGGACAAUGGGGGCAACCCUGAUCCAGCCAUGCCGCGUGAGUGAAGAAGGCCCUCGGGUUGUAAAGCUCUUUUGUCCGGAAAGAAAAGCAAUCGGUUAAUACUCGGUUGUUCUGACGGUACCGGAAGAAUAAGCACCGGCUAACUUCGUGCC